UACGUAGGACACAAGCGUUAUCCGGAGUUACUGGGCGUAAAGGGCGUGUAGGCGGACGUGUAAGUCUAUUCUGAAAGCUCCUGGCUAAACUGGGAGAGGCGAAUGGAGACUGCAUAUCUAGAGUGAGGAAGAGGAAAGUGGAAUUCCGCGUGUAGUGGUGAAAUGCGUAGAUAUGCGGAGGAACACCGAUGGCGAAGGCAAUCCCCUGGGCCUGCACUGACGCUCAUGCACGAAAGCGUGGGGAGCAAACAGG
rnacentral:rRNA from 1 species